rnacentral:rRNA from 1 species
GAUGAACGCUGGCGGCGUGCCUAAUACAUGCAAGUCGAGCCAACAGACGAGGAGCUUGCUCCUCUGACGUUAGCGGCGGACGGGUGAGUAACACGUGGAUAACCUACCUAUAAGACUGGGAUAACUUCGGGAAACCGGAGCUAAUACCGGAUAAUAUAUUGAACCGCAUGGUUCAAUAGUGAAAGACGGUUUUGCUGUCACUUAUAGAUGGAUCCGCGCCGCAUUAGCUAGUUGGUAAGGUAACGGCUUACCAAGGCAACGAUGCGUAGCCGACCUGAGAGGGUGAUCGGCCACACUGGAACUGAGACACGGUCCAGACUCCUACGGGAGGCAGCAGUAGGGAAUCUUCCGCAAUGGGCGAAAGCCUGACGGAGAAACGCCGCGUGAGUGAUGAAGGUCUUCGGAUCGUAAAACUCUGUUAUUAGGGAAGAACAAAUGUGUAAGUAACUAUGCACGUCUUGACGGUACCUAAUCAGAAAGCCACGGCUAACUACGUG